rnacentral:misc_RNA from 1 species
UUGAAAUAAACCUGAUGGGUUGUAGCUGGUCUUCGCAAGAUGACAAUGUGCACACCUUUAUUCAUCAAUCACACCCUGUGCACCUUUUGUAGACUUUGUUGUCUAUGUUUUUCAUAUACACACUCCAUAAAGUUUAGAAUGUUUUGGUUUUGGAAAUAAUUAAUA